GACGGAGGAUGCAAGCGUUAUCCGGAAUGAUUGGGCGUAAAGCGUCCGCAGGUGGCAGUUCAAGUCUGCUGUCAAAGACCGGGGCUUAACUUCGGAAAGGCAGCGGAAACUGAACAGCUAGAGUAUGGUAGGGGCAGAGGGAAUUCCUGGUGUAGCGGUGAAAUGCGUAGAUAUCUGGAGGAACACCGGUGGCGAAGGCGGCAUCCUGGACCGACACUGACGCUGAGGAGCGAAAGCCAGGGGAGCAAACGGG
rnacentral:rRNA from 1 species